rnacentral:rRNA from 1 species
UGGCUCAGGAUAGAACGCUAGCGGCAGGCUUAACACAUGCAAGUCGAGGGGUAUAGUUCUUCGGAACUAGAGACCGGCGCACGGGUGCGUAACGCGUAUGCAAUCUACCUUUUGCAGAGGGAUAGCCCAGAGAAAUUUGGAUUAAUACCUCAUAGUAUAGUACUUUGGCAUCAAGGAACUAUUAAAGUCACAACGGCAAAAGAUGAGCAUGCGUCCCAUUAGCUAGUUGGUAAGGUAACGGCUCACCAAGGCUACGAUGGGUAGGGGGUCCUGAGAGGGAGAUCCCCCACACUGGUACUGAGACACGGACCAGACUCCUACGGGAGGCAGCAGUGAGGAAUAUUGGACAAUGGGCGCAAGCCUGAUCCAGCCAUGCCGCGUGCAGGAUGACGGUCCUAUGGAUUGUAAACUGCUUUUGUACGAAAGAAACAACAUUACGUGUAAUGUCUUGACGGUAUCGUAAGAAUAAGGAUCGGCUAACUCCGUG